rfam:Bacillus sp. MRMR6 scaffold_0, whole genome shotgun sequence.
GUGAAAUACCUGCUUAGGAUGAAUGCGAGCAUUCCUACCCUAAUACCCCGACAUGCUAUGAUAAAUCCGUGUUUAUCAUGGUGUGAAGCUCGGAGAGGACGGCGAAACUUGACCUGAGAUGGUCAGGAGUAGUCGGGGGGCUAGAAA